rnacentral:tRNA from 1 species
UCGGCCGUGGUGUAAUUGGCAACACAAUAGGUUUUGGUCCUAUCAUUCCAGGUUCGAGUCCUGGCGGCCGAG